AUGCGUCUUCCAAGAGAUCAAUAAAGUAGAAACAAUGAUUUUGAAAAAUAUUUCUGUACCUUUUUAUGUUUUAUAAAGUCAAAAUUUUCUCAAGAAGAGCUUUUUCAAGUAUUUAAGCUAACCCUUAGAUGGUUGUUUCUGAAAAUGAACAAGUUCGAAGCUCUUAAGUUUGACGAUUCAAAUAAUGGCGAUAGUACUGAUGACAAGGAGGACGACGAAUUUGAACCAAGAGACACGAAAACCAUUCGUGAUGAAGGCAUCAAUGGAGAGGGGAUUAGUGAGGAGGAAGAGAGAAGAUUGAAAUUGCAGACUGAGCUUGAGAACAAAGUUGUGACUGUUGGUGAAGGAGAGCAUCCCCUGCAGUGUCCUCAUGCUUUUUGGUUUUCACGAAGAGCACCAGGAAAACUUCAGUCUUCUAAUUAUGCAGACAAUAUAAAGAUGGUUGGAAAGUUUGCAUCGGUUGAACAGUUUUGGAGAUUUUAUAGCUACUUAGUUAGGCCUGGGGAUUUAUCCGGUCAUAGUGAUAUUCACCUUUUUAAGGAUGGCAUUAAACCAAUGUGGGAGGAUGAAGCUAACAAAUGUGGAGGAAAGUGGAUAGUUAGACUGAGGAAAGGACUAGCUUCAAGAUGCUGGGAGAACCUUAUUCUGGCUAUGCUUGGGGAGCAGUUCAUGGUUGGAAGUGAAGUUUGUGGUGCCGUGAUAUCUGUUCGAUUUCAGGAAGAUAUAAUCUCAAUAUGGAACCGAAAUGCUGCUGAUCAAGCUACAACUACUCGAAUAAGGGACACACUCAAGAGGGUUUUGAAUCUGCCACAAAACACAAUCAUGGAGUACAAGGCUCAUCUAAGCAGUUUGAAGGAUAAUUCAAGUUUUAGAAAUACAGAUGUCUUUAUGAGAUGAACUGCUACAACCUACAUGUUUGGAAAUCCCUGAUGUCCUGCAAAUGAAAAGGUUCCUGUUCGGGGUUAUGAGUAAACGAAACGAUAAAAAGAAGUCAGUCUCCAGUGAGAAAAGUCCUCUUCCUAUCAGUCCUUAUCAACCAAUCAUCUCUGUCCUACUGAAACUCAACUGAUCAAACCAUAUUUAGACGUUUCCGUGACUGCUUCCUGUACUGAAGUUAUAUGGUCAUGGCGGCCACAGAUGUUAGAGCUCCUGCAAUUUUGUACCAUUUAGCUGCCUUUUUAAUACAUCCAAUUUUUUUAAUACAUUUAAUCUUGUAGUCUACCAGUUUUUAGA